AACGAACGCUGGCGGCAGGCCUAACACAUGCAAGUCGAGCGAGGACUUCGGUCCUAGCGGCGGACGGGUGAGUAACGCGUGGGAACGUGCCCUUUGCCUCGGAAUAGCCCUGGGAAACUGGGAGUAAUACCGGAUGAGCCCUUUGGGGGAAAGAUUUAUCGGCGAAGGAUCGGCCCGCGUUGGAUUAGGUAGUUGGUGGGGUAAUGGCCUACCAAGCCGACGAUCCAUAGCUGGUUUGAGAGGAUGAUCAGCCACACUGGGACUGAGACACGGCCCAGACUCCUACGGGAGGCAGCAGUGGGGAAUCUUAGACAAUGGGGGAAACCCUGAUCUAGCCAUGCCGCGUGAGCGAUGAAGGCCUUAGGGUUGUAAAGCUCUUUCAGCUGGGAAGAUAAUGACGGUACCAGCAGAAGAAGCCCCGGCUAACUCCGUG
rnacentral:rRNA from 1 species